CCUGUUCCUGUUGCACAGUGCCUGUUGAGUGUUUACAUACGGUAAUUUUGAGUUUUGACUGACAAUAAUAAUUCAACGUUUGAGAUUACAAGUUUUUAACAAUAAAUUGAGCCCCUGUUGAUCGUUGAGGAGACAUCAGAGAAAACUUCAUUCAUUGAACAACAACAUUUUAGAACAUUUUUUUUCAAAUACAGUGUAUACAAUAUUGAUUGCAAAGAUUUGUGAAACUAAGGAAACUACAGUAUGUAUACAAGGAAAGAGGAAUCAAAAAAGGAAAAGGUGCUCAUUGGAAAUCUGCCAGGUACUUUAUUCAGCCUUCGGCCCCUGAAGAUAAUGGGUACGGUAACAGGAAAUUUAUAAAAUUAUCACUUCCAAAGUAUUCAAUUAUUAUUUUUUUUAAUUGACUGGCUCAUGUCUCCAAGCUUCUAAUUUUCAUUUGUUGAUUCGAUCAGGCCUAUACACAAUUCAUUGAGAAUAUAAUUGAUGUAAUUCUGACUUCGUCACUCCGAUUUAACAAAGAUGGCCUCCACAGAAUGGCUUGAACAGUCUAUUGGUAAAAUGGUCGACUUGAGUCAUGAGGUGAUCAUGAAUACUCUAGCUGAACCUGCUCAGCAACCAAUGAAUGAUGACGUCUAUCAUCUAACUUGUAUGAACAUCAUUGGGCGCUUUUCACACAUUUCAGAACGCUCCAAUUUGACUCCACUUGAGCUUGGCAUAAUAGCUGAUUAUUUGCUGUCCACUUAUGGUCCGCUUCCUAAUGAAUUAAUAUCGACGGACAUUUCACCUCCAACUUUGCAUGAAGAACAGUCACAACUUCCACAUGAAAAAUUGGAUUUGGAUAAUGAGUAUGUUUCAGACGAUAUGGAUUUCAAAAUGAGGCUGUUAGAUUCUACCAAUGAAUACAUAUUUGGUACUAUUAAAUUAACAGAAGUAAGAGAAAACAUCAUGAUUAAUAUAAGAGAGCUUGCUUUGACAUUUUUUGGACAAGCUCUCUCGGACAAGGACACACAGCUGACGCAUCUCUCUCUCAGUAAUAGCAAUGUUGCAAGCGGUAUGCUUAUUGCAUUUUUGAAAUAUUUGCCAGAGUCCCGAAUUGUUUCUCUUAAUUUACCAAAAAUAUUAGAGAGAAAGAUUUUUUACUAUGUAGAUGAUUCAAGUAAUGUCCGUGUUUAUGGUAGGCGUGAUGAUGAUGAAUUUCAUUAUUAUGAUCGUUAUUAUUAUAAUAAUGAUGAUGAUGGUGAUGAAGAUUAUGAUAGAGGUUGCUUCAAUAAGCUGUACAAAUUAUGCUGUGGUUCUAACAGGAGUAUAAGUUAUACAUCAUCGGAAGUUGAUCAUAGUGAUAAAUCUAAGGAUGAACCAGAAGUUCAAAGAAAUAAUUGCUUACAGUAUCUUGCCUCAAUAUUAAAAGACACUGAAAUUAAUUCCCUAGAUUUGAAUGGUAAUGCUAUCAACCUGGAAAUGCUCUCUUGUUUUCUGGAAGGUACAAAAAUAUCUUCUCUUGGUUUAAGAGGGUGUAGGGUCAAGAGUAAUGGUUUAAACAGUUUGGCAAGUGUUUUGAAAAGUACAAACAUCACUUCCAUAGAUCUAAGCGAAAAUUUAUUAGAUUGUAAGAGAUUGAAAAUAUUUGUGGAAGGUUUAGAGGGUACAAAAAUUACAUCUUUGAACCUUAGCUCAAAUAAAAUAGGUGUUGAUGGACUGACUUGUUUGGGAGCAGUUUUGAAAAACACAAAUAUCAUAACCAUUGAUCUCAGUAGAAAUGGGUUGAACUGUGAUUGCUUGAAGGCAUUUGCGCCACAUCUGGUGAAUACAAAUGUUACCUCUCUGAAUUUGAGGACCAACCAGAUAGGCAUUGAUGGUGUGAAAAGCCUAGCACAUGUUUUGAAGGACACACUGAUCGAAACAAUUGAUUUGGGAGAGAAUAUCCUGAGUUAUGAAAGUGUCAAUGUAUUGGCAAAUUGCUUGUUGGACAAAAAAAUCAAAUCACUUUGUUUGAGAGGGAAUGAUCUAGACAUUGAUCGGCUCAAUUGCUUGACAAGUGUUCUGAAACAAUCAAUCAUCACUUCACUGGAUGUUGGCAAAUGCAAUUUGCAGAGUGACAGUGUGAAGUUGUUGGCACCGGAGUUGGUGGGCUCACACAUUCAGUCACUCAAUUUGAGUCAUAAUUACAUAGGUGUUGAUGGCAUCAAUUCUCUGGCUGAUAUCUUGAAUGACACUGACAUCACCUCCCUAGACCUUAGCCAUAAUGGUGUGGAAAAUAUAAAUAUCUGUUUGAAGAUAUUUGCAUGUUUAAAUGCAAGAGAUUCUAAGAUUGAUUAUCUUAGAAUGGGGGAGAAUAAAAUAGAUUACGAAUAUUUAGCAAAUAUUUUGAAGGACUGUAACUUUACUUCAAUUGAUCUUGAUAGCACCACAAACAAUAUAGGCUUGGAGAAAUUUACAUCAAAUUUAGAUAUUUCAAACAUUAGUUCUCUGAAUUUGAGUGGAAAUCAUUGUGGCGAGACUCUUCAGAAACUAGCUUCUGUUCUCAAAUUCACUUCAAUCACCUCAUUGAAUCUCGCAAAAUAUUAUUUACCAUGCAAUAGCCUGACAGAUCUACUAUUGUGCCUGCCUGAUACGAAAAUCACAUCUCUCAAUCUCAGUGAGAACAAUAUUUGUGGUAAUAUAUUUUAUUUGGCAUCUGUUUUGAAAUAUACUAAAAUCACUUCUAUCGACCUAAGCGGUUGUGGAAUAGGCGAAGAUUAUGAUGAAAUCAAUAUGGUUCAGAUGUUGAUCGACUCCAGUGACACAUCACUUGAUUUGAGAUAUAAAUGUCUUUGUUAUUUCAGUAUAUGUUACUUAGCAAGUCAACUGCGACACACAAGAAUAAUGUACCUCAACCUAACUGGCAAUGAAAUAGUAUACAAUGGUAUGAAAUAUCUUUCUCAGGGACUUUUGGGCUCACAAAUUGUUGCACUUGAUCUCAGUGGAGACAAAAUAGAUUGUUCGGGUGUUUAUUAUCUAGCUGAAGUUCUCAGGAACACUCAAAUUUCUUUAUUGAAUCUAUCAAAUAAUAAAAUCGCCUGCAAGGGUAUCAGAUAUUUGGCAGAGGGCCUUGUGGGCAGUAGUAUCUCAUCACUGAACCUAUCAAACAAUAAAAUCGCCUGCGAAGGUCUCAAGUAUUUGACAGAGCGCUGUCAGUUGCAAUCGCUAGAUUUGAGUAAGAAUCUUAUUAAAGAUCAAGGUAUCCAAUACUUGGCUGAAAAUGUUGCGAAUAUUGACAUUUUCAAGAUAAAUUUGUGUAAAAAUAUUAUUGGAAAGCAAGUAGCAUAUCAGUUGUUAGAUGGUGUGAAAAGAAAAAGAAUGAAUCCAUUGAGCAAAGUUUUCCUUGAUGUUACCAGUGAUUUAACUAGUUAUAUCAGUUUGUACAAAUAUCCAGGCUGCCUUGUUGAAAUCAGUGAACCGUGUUCCAGAGAAGAUGUAAAUUGUCUUAUUGACAAUAUCCAUCGGACACUGGGUAGGCCUAUAAUAACCAAAUUGAUUGUGUACGGAGAACAUUUUGAACAUUUGUUGGGACAAUUUGACAACAUUGACAUCACAGAACUUGAAAUCGAACACUACUUUGAGGAACAUCAUAUAUCUCCCAUACUUGUCAAUAGUAAUAUUGCUGUGCUGAAUUUGGAUUGGGAUGAAGGUAAGAUAUUGUCGAAAGAAAAACUCAUUUUGAAGGUGAAAGCUAUUUCAUUGAAAAUUAAAACUGAAUCUUUCAGCGGGCUAACAAACUGCGGUUUCAAAUCUGCACUGAAUAAAAGUAAUAUUGUGUACCUAGAUUUGAGUAAUAACAAGCUAAAAGAUGAUGGUUUUGAGAUAUUGGUUGAAUUGUUGAAGGAUUCCAAAAUAAUAUCUUUGAAUUUGAGCAAUAAUUCUUUGACUGAAAGUUGUGUUGUACUAUUAGCCAAAGUUCUUGCUCAAACCAGAAUCACGUACAUAGAUUUGCAUGGGAAUGGAAUCUGCUAUUUAGGAAAUGCAUACUCAUACCUUGUCAAAGCUGCUUGCGAGUCUAGUGUUUGUUGGAUUUCUUUGGAUCAGAAUGAAAUUGAAGAGGGUUCACAAGAAAACAUAGAACUAUUACAUUUACCUUACAUUGUUCCACGAAAUGAUACACCAAUCGAAUUUCAAAUUCGCUUCUUGUUCAGAGAGUUGGUCUCAGUGGACUCAGCUGGUGACCAAUUCGAAUUCAUUGUUCCUCGCGAUGACUCAGACAUCACCAUCACCAUCAGCCACUACCCACUUCUGUUCAAAUAUCUUCCAGAAUACAAAAUGCACAUCUAUGACCACUUCUACAUGCAGAGUAUGAGAAGACAUGACAUUCACGUGCUGAAAAGAGUAAACAGUUUUGUCGAAAAUAUGAAAACUAAAUUUAAUAAGUUUAUUGAAGACAAAAUGUUGCAAUUGGCAGAGAAAUUUGGCCACGAUAGUUUUGUGAGACUUGUUAAGGAAUGUGAUCGUUUAGAUUUGUCUGAUUUUGUUAUUAUGCUACUGUGCCAUAGACCAUUGUAUUAUGUGGACAGCGAAGAGAAUUUCUUGCAUCCGUUCAUCUACAAAAUGUUGCAUAAAUAUGAGUUGCCAUUGUACAAUGCAAUCUAUGAACCGAAUAAGAAACAUCAAAUAAUAUCUUACUUUGAGGAGCAUUCAGAUUUUGAUUGCUCUCGUGAGAUUAUUGAUUUACUCAGUUUAUUGUAAAUUUGACAUGUAUUGUUUACUAAUUAAUAAUUAUAAUUAAACGAAAU
rnacentral:misc_RNA from 1 species